UUACACGAGGCAGGAGUGUUACUUCAUGGAGCCCUUCGUUAAGGAAAUGUUUUCUGGGGGAGACAGAGCCACAAUGCCAUAAAUUCUAAGUAACAGAAUAUACACAAACGUGGCCUUCGAGACAGUUGACUUGACUAGUCCCUGCUGUUUUCUUGGCAGGUGUUUUUGGAAGUGGUUUGCCUGUUUAGAGCUGAGAGAGAGGGAUUGGCCCAAGGUGGCUGUGUGCCUCAGGACAAUCAGAUACUUAAUGAGAAGUCAAGCAGGACAGGAACAUACAGUAGCAACAUCUUUCUGCCUAUGACCACUAACAACUGAUGUUUUGUAGGACAAUUUGGUCAGAGAAUGGAUAGUUCUCCACAUACAUGAAGCUGCUGAGAAUGAGGCCUUUGUACAGACAUGAAGGCCACAAUGGUAGUGGUUGCCAUGGCAGCAAAUUAUGACCUAAUGCAAAAGGGUCAUUAGGGGGAUGGAGUUGCCAUGGCAGUGGAAUGGUAAAAGGCGCACCUGACCUUUCCACCCAAUCAGUGUCCUCCCCCCCACCCCCAAAUAAAUAUCUAUACUCCCAAUUUGGUCACCAAGUGCAAACAUUUCCUGCCCAGCCCAACAGGCAGAGGAAGAUGUGAGAGUGGCUGUACAGUACCUUGGAGACCCAGCGAUCCAGCUAGGGUACAGCAGCAAUGGGAAAAGGGGGAUACAGACAUGACUCAGCACACCAGCAGAGUCCCCAAUUAAACCCUGCUCUGGAAACCCAGAGAGAAAGAAGUUACACCCCAGCAAUGUCUAUUGCUUCUGGCUGCUGGUAUCCGAGUAGUACCUUCCUUUACUGAUCUGAAAAUAGGGAAAAUUCUCUCUUUUGAGCAUGAGAUGUGGCAGAAGCAUCUUUCUACCAUCUUACUCGGCUAAAGUAAGCAGAGACAAUUGGAGGAGGAAGGAGAACAGAACAAGGGUAAUGGAAAUCAUAUGUGAUGACUGUGAGAAGCAAUGCAGAGAAUGGAUAUAAGCAAAUACCUACCAACAUUCUAAGUAGACAUCGUCCCUUGCUACUUUGCCACCCUGUCUUAAUUUACUCACUUCAAUAAUUAUAUGAUUUUAUGAGGGAA